rnacentral:rRNA from 1 species
GAUGAACGCUGGCGGCGUGCUUAACACAUGCAAGUCGAACGGGAAACCUUUUAUUGAAGCUUCGGCAGAUUUCGCUGGUUUCUAGUGGCGGACGGGUGAGUAACGCGUGGGUAACCUGCCUUAUACAGGGGGAUAACAACCAGAAAUGGUUGCUAAUACCGCAUAAGCGCACAGGACCGCAUGGUCCGGUGUGAAAAACUCCGGUGGUAUAAGAUGGACCCGCGUUGGAUUAGCUAGUUGGCAGGGUAACGGCCUACCAAGGCGACGAUCCAUAGCCGGCCUGAGAGGGUGAACCGCCACAUUGGGACUGAGACACGGCCCAGACUCCUACGGGAGGCAGCAGUGGGGAAGAUUGCACAAUGGGGGAAACCCGGAUGCAGCGACGCCGCGUGAAGGAAGAAGUAUCUCGGUAUGUAAACUUCUAUCAGCAGGGAAGAUAGUGACGGUACCUGACUAAGAAGCCCCGGCUAACUACGUG